ACUGUUUAAUUUUAAACUGUUUAAACUUUUUAAUUAAAAAAAAAAUCAUCCAGUCAGAACCUUUACCUCUUCGUCAACUGCAAACAAAAAUUCAGACUUCAAUCAAAAGAGAAAUAUUUAUUUCAUGAUAGACCUCAUUUGAUAUUACUCAACCAUUCAAAAAAAUGUACACAAUUAAGAACUUUUUAUUCUUUUUUUUUUUUUUUUUUUUUUGAGGAAGUACUGCCAGUUGAAAUAUCAAAAGCCACAUGCAGCGGUGUUCAGUCCAACGGCAAAUAAUUUGUUCUUCAAUGUGUUCUUGCUCAUUGGCAGGAUGGCUGGCCAUUCCGGGGGGAAGGGGGGGGGGGAGCACAAAACAAACAAAUGUUUUGAGGCAAAUGUUUUGUCUGAUCUUUGAAGGAUUCAGAGCUGAAGCAACAGUGUUUCCGUUUUUCUUCACAUGAAACGACUUUUAACUGCCCAAGAUCCGUUUUGGUCUGUUAGUAAGAAUGACAUUUUUUAAAGACAAUUGACAUGGGCUGAAUUUUAUAUUUUUGAAAAACUGUCAAAACUUGAAAGUACUUUAAACAACCAGCAAGACCAGAGGACAUUACAGGUCAAGCAACAUUGUGAAUUAGAGUUUUAUUUAAAUGGCCUUGCAUUUAAAGAAGAAAAAAAAAAUAAACACUGAUUUAGAAGUUGAUCUGCUUUUAAAGAGAAAUUCCUUCAUAAAUCUUCAGUUGCAAAACAACAAAAGUCGUGUCAUGCAGAUGGCUGCUUAUUCCAGUUUUUAUGACACCCUUCAACUCAAAUUCCAAUUAAUUAAAGUUAAUAAUUAUAAAAAUUCCCUGGAUCUGUUGUUUUUGCAGCUAAAACAGGAAUACACGCUGAUUUCAAGUGUGUAAUGAAACCAGUGAGUUAUGAUAUUUUUGUUUUGAACCGAGCAGGAAAAAUGCAUAAAAUCAGUGAGAGACAAAAAAUUUCUCUAUUGUGCAACACGCAAAGAAAUCAAACACAC